rnacentral:rRNA from 1 species
GACGAACGCUGGCGGCGUGCCUAAUACAUGCAAGUUGAGCGCUGAAGGUUGGUACUUGUACCAACUGGAUGAGCAGCGAACGGGUGAGUAACGCGUGGGGAAUCUGCCUUUGAGCGGGGGACAACAUUUGGAAACGAAUGCUAAUACCGCAUAAAAACUUUAAACACAAGUUUUAAGUUUGAAAGAUGCAAUUGCAUCACUCAAAGAUGAUCCCGCGUUGUAUUAGCUAGUUGGUGAGGUAAAGGCUCACCAAGGCGAUGAUACAUAGCCGGCCUGAGAGGGUGAUCGGCCACAUUGGGACUGAGACACGGCCCAAACUCCUACGGGAGGCAGCAGUAGGGAAUCUUCGGCAAGGGACGAAAGUCUGACCGAGCAACGCCGCGUGAGUGAAGAAGGUUUUCGGAUCGUAAAACUCUGUUGGUAGAGAAGAACGUUGGUGAGAGUGGAAAGCUCAUCAAGUGACGGUAACUACCCAGAAAGGGACGGCUAACUACGUG